UUUCUAACUUUUCUAGCGUUUGUUUGGCGGAAAAUAUUUUCCAUUUGGAAAAUGAACUCCAAAACAUGGGUAAAAUCAAAGCCAAUUUUCGGAAAAUGUCUUACCGAUUUCUAAGCCGUAAGACAUUUUCCCUUCUCUUCUAAGCAGUGGUUCUCCCUUCCUCAAAGCCUCCGCCUCUCCUCCUCAUCUCUACCUCGCUAUCUCUGUCUCUCAGCUUCGUCUUCCUUCUUCAUCUUUCUGCUCCAUAGAUCAGUUCCGGUGAGUCACCCAUAUGCUUUAAGUUUUUUUUUUGGCUCAAUUAUUUCUAAAUUUCGCUUUCUGUUCAGUCCGAUAUGAUGAUCAAUUUUCUAAAUUUCUAAAUUGCUAAUGGAUUAAUGAAAUGGGGUUAGGGUCCGUUUGUUAAACCAUGUAUGGAGGAAUUUUAUGAGUUUACAGCUUAAAAUGGGUUAAUGAAAUGGGGUUAUUGAUAUUUUGGUAUUUUCCAAAAAUUGGAAAAAGGAUGAAAACUCAUCCUCUUCUUCCCAACACUACUCGACCCCCACUUCUUCACUAAGGGAAGCUUUCCCUUUUAAUUUUCUUGAAUUAAAAUUGUUUUGAUCUUUUAUUUCUUGAAUAUUAAAAAUUGUUAGCAGCUCAUAUAUAGACUUUUUGCUUGAGAAACAAACCAAUCAAAAAUUUUCUUGAAUUAAAAUUGUUUUGAUCGACAUUCAUGUGGUUUGAGUUUUGUAUUCGUUUAUGAACAAAAGUAGUUAUGUAAUGUAAAAUUUUCUCGAUAAUUUUUAUUUGAGUUCUGAGCCCUAAGCUAAAUUGCUGUAAAUUUCAUCCAAUAACAUAUAAUAUGUAUAUAGAUAGAUAAGAUUGCUUGAUAUUGCAUUACUUUGUGAUUUGCUUUUACUUUGGGGAAAUUACUUAACAGUUAAGUGCAUUGAGCUAGUGUUGCUAGUACCUCUUCUUCAGUAAUGAAUAUUUUGAGUGUCUUUCAGAGAAAUGCUAUAAUGAAUUUGGCUUUGUCAUACAGCAACUAGUUUUUGUAAGUAGUUUAAGUAGGCCACGUUUAAGUUCGAACCAGCGACUUCCCGGAGUUUUGCUGCGAGUAAGAGGCACGUCCAUUUCUUCAAACAGGUUGGUGCUUAAAGCUCUUUGCAUGUUUCAAAUUCAUAGCACUUGUAUUGGUUGUAUUUACUAUGAUUAUUUACCAUGUCAAGCAGAACUAGUAAUUCUGCAAGUUUGAAACUCAUAGGAUUUGCAUUAAUGCACUUCAGGCACUUUUAAUGCUUUUGCUGCACUAGUUGAACUAAAAAUGUAUCCACCAUUCUUGCUUUGACACCAAUUUCAAUUCAACCCGUUUAAAUUCUCGACAACAUAUGAUAUCUAUAAUUUUUUGAACUCUAUUAGAAUCCAAAUCAUGACUUUACUUUUUUGUUCUACUUUUAUUUCAUGGGAUAUGUUGAGUGGUGCAAAAUGAUCAAAAGGGAGGCAACUAUUAGACUAUCAACUUGUGUCAUAAUCUGUAUAGGACCAUUCAGUGUCAUAUAUGGUUGAUUGUGAUCCAUUAUUAUUGUUGCAUCCAUAAAAUUAAAUUCUUUUAGGCAGUUGACUUGUUAUUGGCUGAUUUUAAUUCAUAAGAUCAGUGGUGGGCUUCAUUCAACUUCAUUGUUUAGUUUCCAGCGUUGGUCUUAAUACUCACUGCAUUUGCUUACUUAUGUCCUUGGUAUUUGUUGUGCUUUUUACUUGCAAGUUUAAUACAACGUAACAUAUGUUAACCAAAACAGAGUGUCAAUGGAGAAUUGAUGGUAGAUAUUUGGAAAUGCCAUUAUGUUUGGAGUUUUACCUAUAAUAGAAAAAGGCGGAGCAAGUAAGCUUUUCAAGUGCUUCAAUUUCUUCCAAUGAAUGCUUGAUUUAUGUUUGUGCAUGAACUGAGAUAUUGAGGCAGUAUUGCAACUUGUCAAUAGAUUUGCCUUCUUGAUCUUAUUCAACAUUGAGCCAAUGCAACUUGUCAAGAUUGAAGAUAUUGAUACGUCUUUUAAUGUGGUAUAAUAUUAAUUAUGCACUUGGACAAUGUUGUUAUUGUGUGUUGUACUACUAAUUAUGCAUUUGGAUAAUAUUAUUAAUUUCUAGUAUUAAUUGUGGUUUGGAAGCUAAUUUAUUCAAUCCUUAUUUUUUAUUUUUUUAUAA
rnacentral:lncRNA from 1 species